rnacentral:rRNA from 1 species
UACGUAGGGCGCAAGCGUUGUCCGGAAUUAUUGGGCGUAAAGAGCUCGUAGGUGGCGUGUCGCGUCUGCCGUGAAAGCCCAUGGCUUAACUGUGGGUCUGCGGUGGAUACGGGCAGGCUGGAGGCUGGUAGGGGGAAGCGGAAUUCCUGGUGUAGCGGUGAAAUGCGCAGAUAUCAGGAGGAACACCGGUGGCGAAGGCGGCUUGCUGGGCCAGUUCUGACGCUGAGGAGCGAAAGCGUGGGGAGCGAACAGG